rnacentral:rRNA from 1 species
ACUCCUACGGGAGGCAGCAGUGGGGAAUAUUGCACAAUGGGCGCAAGCCUGAUGCAGCCAUGCCGCGUGUAUGAAGAAGGCCUUCGGGUUGUAAAGUACUUUCAGCAGUGAGGAAGGUGGGUAUGUUAAUAGCAUACUCAUUUGACGUUAGCUGCAGAAGAAGCACCGGCUAACUCCGUGCCAGCAGCCGCGGUAAUACGGAGGGUGCGAGCGUUAAUCGGAAUUACUGGGCGUAAAGCGCAUGCAGGUGGUUUGUUAAGUCAGAUGUGAAAGCCCGGGGCUCAACCUCGGAAUUGCAUUUGAAACUGGCAAACUAGAGUACUGUAGAGGGGGGUAGAAUUUCAGGUGUAGCGGUGAAAUGCGUAGAGAUCUAGAAGGAAUACCGGUGGCGAAGGCGGCCCCCUGGACAGAUACUGACACUCAGAUGCGAAAGCUGGGGAGCAAACAGGAUUAGAUACCCUGGUAAGGCU